GACGAACGCUGGCGGCGUGCUUAACACAUGCAAGUCGAACGAUGAACCCGGAGCUUGCUCCGGUGGAUUAGUGGCGAACGGGUGAGUAACACGUGAGUAACCUGCCCUUGACUCUGGGAUAACUGCGGGAAACUGUAGCUAAUACCGGAUACGACCCUCGGCGGCAUCGCCAGGGGGUGGAAAGAAUUUCGGUCAAGGAUGGACUCGCGGCCUAUCAGCUAGUUGGUGAGGUAACGGCUCACCAAGGCGACGACGGGUAGCCGGCCUGAGAGGGGAGCCGGGCAGAAUGGGCCUGAGACACGGCCCAGAUUCCUGCGGGAGGCAGCAGUGGGGAAUAUCGCACAAUGGGCGCAAGCCUGAUGCAGCAACGCCGCGUGAGGGAUGACGGCCUUCGGGUUGUACACCGCUUUUAGUAGGGAAGAAGCGAAAGUGACGGUACCUGCAGAAAAAGCACCGGCUAACUACGUGCCAGCAGCCGCCGUAA
rnacentral:rRNA from 1 species